rnacentral:rRNA from 1 species
CCUACGGGAGGCAGCAGUGAGGAAUAUUGGUCAAUGGACGAGAGUCUGAACCAGCCAAGUAGCGUGAAGGAUGACUGCCCUAUGGGUUGUAAACUUCUUUUAUAUGGGAAUAAAAUGUUCCACGUGUGGGCUUUUGUAUGUACCCUAUGAAUAAGGCUCGGCUAACUCCGUGCCAGCAGCCGCGGUAAUACGGAGGAUCCGAGCGUUAUCCGGAUUUAUUGGGUUUAAAGGGAGCGUAGGUGGAAUGUUAAGUCAGUUGUGAAAGUUUGCGGCUCAACCGUAAAAUUGCAGUUGAAACUGGCAGUCUUGAGUACAGUAGAGGUGAGCGGAAUUCGUGGUGUAGCGGUGAAAUGCUUAGAUAUCACGAAGAACUCCGAUUGCGAAGGCAGCUCACUGGACUGCAACUGACACUGAGGCUCGAAAGUGUGGGUAUCAAACAGGAUUAGAUACCCUGGUAGUC